CCUUGAAAUACCACCCUUGUAGUGUUGAUGUUCUAACGUCGACCCCUAAUCGGGGUUGCGGACAGUGCCUGGUGGGUAGUUUGACUGGGGCGGUCUCCUCCCAAAGAGUAACGGAGGAGCACGAAGGUGGGCUAAUCACGGUUGGACAUCGUGAGGUUAGUGCAAUGGCAUAAGCCCGCUUGACUGCGAGAAUGACAAUUCGAGCAGGUGCGAAAGCAGGUCAUAGUGAUCCGGUGGUUCUGAAUGGAAGGGCCAUCGCUCAACGGAUAAAAGGUACUCCGGGGAUAACAGGCUGAUACCGCCCAAGAGUUCAUAUCGACGGCGGUGUUUGGCACCUCGAUGUCGGCUCAUCACAUCCUGGGGCUGAAGUCGGUCCCAAGGGUAUGGCUGUUCGCCAUUUAAAGUGGUACGCGAGCUGGGUUUAGAACGUCGUGAGACAGUUCGGUCCCUAUCUGCCGUGGGCGUUGGAAGAUUGAAGGGGGCUGCUCCUAGUACGAGAGGACCGGAGUGGACGAACCUCUGGUGUUCGGGUUGUGUCGCCAGACGCAUUGCCCGGUAGCUAAG
rnacentral:rRNA from 1 species